CGUGUUAAGUGGAAAAGGAUGUGGGAUUUCGAAGACAACUAGGAUGUUGGCUCAGAAGCAGCCAUACAUUCAAAGAGUGCGUAAUAGCUCACUAGUCGAGAGGUCCUGCGCCGAAAAUGUCCGGGGCUGAAACACGACACCGAAGCUUAGGAAUCGAAAGAUUGGUAGAGGAGCAUUGAAUACGGAACGAAGCAGUACCGGAAGGAGCUGUGGACUGUAUUGAAGAGAGAAUGCCGGAAUGAGUAGCGAGAUUUAAGUGAGAAUCUUAAAGGCCGAAUAUCUAAGGUUUCCAGGGUAAAGCUGAUCUUCCCUGGGUAAGUCGGGGCCUAAGGCGAGGACGAAAGUCGUAGUCGAUGGAUAACAGGUUGAAAUUCCUGUACCGCAUAUAUUCAGAAAUGUGGGGACACAGAUGGAGAGUACAACCCGGGAAUGGAUAGACCGGGGCAAGCGAGGUAGGAGAAUGGCAGGCAAAUCCACCAUUCAAUCUGAAGACGUGACGCGUACCGAACAAGAGUAGGGAAGUGUAUGAGCCAGCUGUCGAGAAAAGCCGCUAUUGUGAUAUAUGUGCCCGUACCGUAAACCGACACAGGUGGAUGAGGAGAGAAUCCUAAGGCCGGCGGGAGAAGUGUUGUUAAGGAACUCGGCAAAAUGACCCCGUAACUUCGGGAGAAGGGGUGCCUCGGAAGAGGCCGCAGAGAAAUGGCCCAAGCAACUGUUUAGCAAAAACAUAGGUCUAUGCAAAACCGAAAGGUGAGGUAUAUGGGCUGACGCCUGCCCGGUGCUGGAAGGUUAAGAGGAGAGCUUAGCGCAAGCGAAGGUUUGAAUUUAAGCCCCAGUAAACGGCGGCCGUAACUAUAACGGUCCUAAGGUAGCGAAAUUCCUUGUCGGGUAAGUUCCGACCCGCACGAAAGGCGUAAUGAUUUGGGCACUGUCUCAACAACACACCCGGUGAAAUUGAAAUACCAGUGAAGAUGCUGGUUACCUGCGCCAGGACGGAAAGACCCCAUGGAGCUUUACUCCAGCUUGAUACUGGGAUUCGGUACUACCUGUACAGGAUAGGUGGGAGGCUUCGAUCACGGGACGCCAGUUUCGUGUGAGCCGCUGUUGGGAUACCACCCUUGUAGUACUGGAUUCCUAACCUACAGCCGUGAACCGGCUGGGGGACAAUGUCUGGCGGGGAGUUUGACUGGGGCGGUCGCCUCCGAAAGGGUAUCGGAGGCGCUCAAAGGUUCCCUCAGAAUGGUUGGAAACCAUUCGAAGAGUGCAAAGGCAGAAGGGAGCUUGACUGCGACACCGACGGGUGGAGCAGGUACGAAAGUAGGACUUAGUGAUCCGGUGGUAUAAAGUGGGAUUGCCAUCGCUCAACGGAUAAAAGCUACCCUGGGGAUAACAGGCUUAUCACUCCCAAGAGUUCACAUCGACGGAGUGGUUUGGCACCUCGAUGUCGGCUCAUCGCAUCCUGG
rnacentral:rRNA from 1 species